UGCGACCUUUGCCUUCGAUCCGACGACGACGACGGCCGCCAUUGCCGAUUGCUUCCCGGCGCGCUGAAGGAAAGAAGCCUCAGGGACCAAGAUCUCGCCGUCGGAUCGCCGGCUGCCGCCUGAAGAUUUGUGCUGUCAAGUUGAUAGAGGACAAGGCCAUGGGUGUCGAGGCAGAUCAUGGUACGCCAUGUAUAAGGACGAUCUUGAGGUGUUCAAUCAGGAUGAGCUACAGAUAUGCUUCUGAAAACUGGGUUCUCCUCUUCCCGGUCCUGCUGCUCUACCUGCUAUUCAGAUCUUCGCCGGGUUUCUUCGCUUUCCUUCUGUCCCACUCUCCUGUAAUCAUAUGUGCCGCUCUUAUCCUUGGUGUGCUGAUAAGCCAUGGCAGCACAAACGUUGCUGAGAUCAAGGAAGAACGGAAAUCUGUCGCCGAGGUUUCGGAUCCCAAGUAUGCAGAUUUGUCCAGGAAUAUCCAUUUGGAAGCAAACAAGGGAUUUUCGGCAAAAGAGAACACGGCGAGCUUAAAUGACGGUGAAAUCAAAGAUGGCUUGAAUUCUUCCAGAGAAGAUGCUAUCGAAGUUGUUGAGAUGGUGGGCAAGAUAAGUCAUGAUAGAGGAUCAACAGAUUCACAGAGUGAUGAGAUGAAAGUAGAUUCAGAAGAUAAACCGGCUGGUACCUGUAAAUGGGGCCGUGCCUUUUCUGUUCGUCGCAGGAAGAAGCUUUCUGAUAUUAAGGUAGAGCCUAUCAAUGCUGCUGUGGACAGUCCAUUAGACUCAUCUUUGGAUUCACCAUUUGGUAGAGUUGGCUGCCAUGAUGGUUCACCAGGUUUUGAUCAUGAUCAGACAGAGGGUACCACUCCUGGUACUCCUAGAACACGCAUUGCUUCUGUCCUGGGCGAGAUUGACCCUCUUUCCAGUGCUGAUUCCCCCCAUCCUGAUCCCAUCCAAAAUGAUGACUCGGACAACCACAUGUCCCUUCAGGAUUCUAGAACUGUGAGAGAUAAUAAUUAUGAAUCUGACAAGAGCAAGGCCAACAAAAACGAUGACAAGAAUGUCAGCACUGAUCCUGCAUUUCUUGGAACCGUAGAUGAUGAUAAGAAUGUCAUGGAUCUUGGGUACUCUGAGGUGGAAAGGCAUCGUAGGUUAGAGAUCUUGAUGGUUAAGAGAAGAUCAAGGAAGAACAUAGUAUUUGAUCCUGACAGUAACUUAGACAUCGAUAAUGAUAAGGUUUGCAAGAGAAACCCAUCUGAUAUUCUUUCUUGUUCUGAUGAGACAGAAUUUCCUGGCUCAGCUCCAUCCGUUCUGCAUACAUGGAGGAAUCCGUUUGAUCAUCCUUUUGAGCAAUCAGAUGAAAGUGAUCUACAUGAACAUGUCGCAAUACCCCACCAGGACAUGUUCUUCACAAGGCAUGAAAGCUUCAGCAUUGGCAGCCAGGGGAGACGUCCCUCAAGAUUUAAGCCACCUUUUAUCAUCGAAGCAAUGGACAUUGAUGAGCCAAGUGCAAGUGAUUUCCAGAGACAAUUCAGUGACAAAAGUGCGUCUACAUUGAGUACAGUUACUGAAUCUGAUAUCAUUUCUUCAGUUGCUGAUCAAGAGGACAUAAGUAACAACAUAAAAAAUGACUCUAGUAGAGAGUAUGAAUCACCAGAGCUACCUACAAUACCUACAAUGGGAAGUGAUAUUAUAUGUGUUGGAGGCACAUGAUCAGAUGGGAUAAAUUUCUUGAACAAUGGAACUCUGAAUGCUAUCACUAAUGGGGCCACAACAGAAUCAUGUACCUCUAUGCCCAUUUUGACGAAUCCGUGAUACCUCCCCGAAGCAUUCGAAAAUCUCUCUGAUGCCAUUGCCAAGAAUGUUGAUGUUUUAGCGAAGAUGAACUGCACUAAAGUGUGCAUAGCAGACGUACUGAAGCCUUUGUCAGUUUGGGACAGCGAAGAGUUUGUCAUGAAAGAACAGAGGAGCCUCAUCCGAGCUUGUAUAGCCUUUUGCUUGUGAUGUAAACGUUUUCUUUAUUCUUGUUUUCAUGUGAUGAAAGAUUUGCAUUCUUCAGAUCAAUUUGCAUAGUUCAGAACACAAGGUUUUGCUAUGCAUUGUUGUUGUGUAUGUAACUGGAUGAUAUAUUACACUAUUACUGCACAUAUCAUUCUUUUGAACAUAAAUCUUCAGUGUAAGUAAGUAUGAAAGGCAUAUUCCAUUUCCAUCCAAGAGGUUAGAAUAUU
rnacentral:lncRNA from 1 species